CAGUAGCCGCGGUAAAACGGAGGGGGCUAGCGUUGUUCGGAAUUACUGGGCGUAAAGCGCACGUAGGCGGCUUGGUAAGUUAGAGGUGAAAGCCUGGAGCUCAACUCCAGAAUUGCCUUUAAGACUGCCGAGCUAGCAGGUGAGAGAGGUAAGUGGAAUUCCGAGUGUAGAGGUGAAAUUCGUAGAUAUUCGGAAGAACACCAGUGGCGAAGGCGGCUUACUGGCUCAUACUGGACGCUGAGGUGCGAAAGCGUGGGGAGCAAACAGGAUUAGAUACCCCGGUAGUCCCUGUCUCUUAUAC
rnacentral:rRNA from 1 species